ACGGGUGAGUAAUACAUCGGAACGUGCCCUGUAGUGGGGGAUAACUAGUCGAAAGAUUAGCUAAUACCGCAUACGACCUGAGGGUGAAAGUGGGGGACCGCAAGGCCUCAUGCUAUAGGAACGGCCGAUGUCUGAUUAGCUAGUUGGUGGGGUAAAGGCCCACCAAGGCGACGAUCAGUAGCUGGUCUGAGAGGACGAUCAGCCACACUGGGACUGAGACACGGCCCAGACUCCUACGGGAGGCAGCAGUGGGGAAUUUUGGACAAUGGGGGCAACCCUGAUCCAGCAAUGCCGCGUGUGUGAAGAAGGCCUUCGGGUUGUAAAGCACUUUUGUCCGGAAAGAAAUCGCACUUACUAAUAUUAGGUGUGGAUGACGGUACCGGAAGAAUAAGGACCGGCUAACUACGUGCCAGCAGCCGCGGUAAUACGUAGGGUCCAAGCGUUAAUCGGAAUUACUGGGCGUAAAGCGUGCGCAGGCGGUUGUGCAAGACCGAUGUGAAAUCCCCGGGCUUAACCUGGGAAUUGCAUUGGUGACUGCACGGCUAGAGUGUGUCAGAGGGGGGGUAGAAUUCCACGU
rnacentral:rRNA from 1 species